UUUAGAAUAUUGUAACUCAGUUACUAACUCAGUUACUUUUUUGAAGAAGUAACUAGUAACUAUAAUUGAAUUACUAUUUGAAAGUAACUUGCCCAACACUGCUAAUGACUUACCUGUAGUCAGCCUGCAAUCCACAGCCAAGCCACUCUCUCUCCACAUUGCAACACAGCCUCCUGGUAAAGUAUUGAAACCCCUCCCCAAAUUGUUACUUUCACGCAUGACCAGAUUAAGAGACAAAUGAGAAGAUGUUCUCAGGCAAGUCUGCUGGACCAGACAGGGUGAGUCUCCAUGUCUUCAAAGCCUGUGCCACACAGCUUGUGUGGGAUUUGUGUGGGACUCCAGAAUCUUGUGUCCUGGAUUGUUUAUUACCUGAUAGACUUCAGCCACUACACAGAGACCGCCAGCUUCAGACGUUUUCUGAUGUCUCUGUGGUGGUUGGAUGCAUCCCUGAGGAUGAUGAAGCGAAGUACCAGGCUGUGGUUGCCUCCUUUUGUCACGGUACUGGGUCGUGUGACCCAGUGUUUGAGUUUUAUGUAUUUUUGUAUUCAUUUUCAAUCUAGUUAAUUUCUAGGUUGCUGUUUAGCCUUUUAUUCCUUAGUUGUUUCUGUCAUCUCCCCCUGUACUCAGUCUCCCUGGUUCGUGCGUCUACCUGUCAUGUUUCAUGUCUAUGUGGUUAUGUUAGGUUCAUGUCAUAUCUCCGUGUUUCCUGUUUUAUUUUGAAAGAGUCCAGUGUUCUUUGUUUAUUGUAUUUAGUUUCACUUCCCCUGUCCUGUCAUUAGGUUUAUGUGUGUCAGCUGUGCUCCCAUGUGUGGCCACUUCCCUUGAUCAUCCCUUAUGUGUAUUUAGUCUCUGUGUUUCAUUCAGUCUGUGUUGCGUUGUCUGUGUAACCUUCCCAGUUAUGUCUCUUCAUAGUCAUCACAGUUCUCAUAGUCACAGUCAUACAAUUAGUUCUCGAAGUUUCAUAGCUUUAUCACAGUCCAUCCAUCCGCUUCCGCUUAUCCUUUUCAGGGUCACGGGGGGCGCUGGAGCCUAUCCCAGCUGUCAUAGGGCGAGAGGCGGGGUACACCCUGGACAGGUCGCAGGGCCAACACACAGGGACAGACAACCA